rnacentral:rRNA from 1 species
GACGAACGCUGCGCGGUGUGCUUAACACAUGCAAGUCGAGCGCGUGAACCACCUUCGGGUGGGGAUCAGCGGCGAACGGGUGAGUAACACGUGGGCAACCUGCCCCGAGCACUGGGAUAACAGUGGGAAACCGCUGCUAAUACCGGAUAUGACUACCGACCGCAUGGUCUGGUGGUGGAAAGGAUUCCGGCUCGGGAUGGGCCCGCGGCCUAUCAGCUAAUUGGUGGGGUAAUGGCCUACCAAGGCGACGACGGGUAGCCGGCCUGAGAGGGCGACCGGCCACACUGGGACUGAGACACGGCCCAGACUCCUACGGGAGGCAGCAGUGGGGAAUAUUGCGCAAUGGGCGAAAGCCUGACGCAGCAACACCGCGUGAGGGACGACGGCCUUCGGGUUGUAAACCUCUUUCAGCUCCGACGAAGCGAAAGUGACGGUAGGAGCAGAAGAAGCACCGGCNGACUACGUGCCAGCAGCCGCGGUAAUACGUAGGGUGCAAGCGUUGUCCGGAAUUAUUGGGCGUAGAGAGCUCGUAGGCGGUCCGUUGCGUCUGCCGUGAAAACCGGGGCUCA